rnacentral:rRNA from 1 species
GAUGAACGCUGGCGGCGUGCUUAACACAUGCAAGUCGAACGGUGAAGCAGGAGCUUGCUCUUGUGGGUCAGUGGCGAACGGGUGAGUAACACGUGAGCAACCUGCCCCUGACUCUGGGAUAAGCGCUGGAAACGGCGUCUAAUACUGGAUAUGUGAUGUGACCGCAUGGUCUGCAUCUGGAAAGAAUUUCGGUUGGGGAUGGGCUCGCGGCCUAUCAGCUUGUUGGCGAGGUAAUGGCUCACCAAGGCGUCGACGGGUAGCCGGCCUGAGAGGGUGACCGGCCACACUGGGACUGAGACACGGCCCAGACUCCUACGGGAGGCAGCAGUGGGGAAUAUUGCACAAUGGGCGGAAGCCUGAUGCAGCAACGCCGCGUGAGGGAUGACGGCCUUCGGGUUGUAAACCUCUUUUAGCAGGGAAGAAGCGAAAGUGACGGUACCUGCAGAAAAAGCACCGGCUAACUACGUGCCAGCCGCCGCUGUAA